rnacentral:rRNA from 1 species
UNCUUUGGAGGUAAAUCUGCCUCAAGGAUAUUAAAUAGCCGCAAAUUUAUUUGGUGCUAAGGUAGCAUAAUCACUCGUCUUUCAAUUGAAGACUAGAAUGAAAGAUUCAACAUUUCAAUAAUUUUCUUAUAUCUACCAACAAAAUUAUUCUAAAUGUUAAAAAACAUUUAUAAUUAAGAAAGACGACAAGACCCUAUCGAACUUAACUAUAAGUUUAAGCUGGGGCAGCUAAUUAAUUAUAAUUUUAAUUCAUAUUCAAAUAAUAAUAGACCCGAUAUCAUCGAAUACGUGAUCAAGUUACCGUAGGGAUAACAGCGUUAUCAUUCUAAAAAGCUCUUAUUAAAAGAAUACGAUUGCGACCUCGAUGUUGAACUAACUUACCUAACCCACGCAACCGUGGAGUUAGUUAGUCUGUUCGACUAUUAAAAAGUUACAUGAUCUGAGUUCAAACCGGAGAG